GAUGAACGCUGGCGGCGUGCCUAAUACAUGCAAGUCGAGCGAACGGACGAGAAGCUUGCUUCUCUGCUGUUAGCGGCGGACGGGUGAGUAACACGUGGAUAACCUACCUAUAAGACUGGGAUAACUUCGGGAAACCGGAGCUAAUACCGGAUAAUAUUUUGUACCGCAUGGUUCAAAAGUGAAAGACGGUCUUGCUGUCACUUAUAGAUGGAUCCGCGCUGCAUUAGCUAGUUGGUAAGGUAACGGCUUACCAAGGCAACGAUGCAUAGCCGACCUGAGAGGGUGAUCGGCCACACUGGAACUGAGACACGGUCCAGACUCCUACGGGAGGCAGCAGUAGGGAAUCUUCCGCAAUGGGCGAAAGCCUGACGGAGCAACACCGCGUGAGUGAAGAAGGUCUUCGGAUCGUAAAACUCUGUUAUUAGGGAAGAACAUAUGUGUAAGUAACUGUGCACAUCUUGACGGUACCUAAACAGAAAGCCACGGCUAACUACGUG
rnacentral:rRNA from 1 species